UACAGAGGGUGCGAGCGUUGUCCGGAAUUAUUGGGCGUAAAGAGCUCGUAGGCGGUUUGUUGCGUCGGCUGUGAAAUCCCGAGGCUCAACCUCGGGUCUGCAGUCGAUACGAGCAAACUAGAGUGUUGCAGGGGAGACUGGAAUUCCUGGUGUAGCGGUGAAAUGCGCAGAUAUCAGGAGGAACACCGGUGGCGAAGGCAGGUCUCUGGGCCACUACUGACGCUGAGAAGCGAAAGCAUGGGGAGCGAACAGG
rnacentral:rRNA from 1 species